rnacentral:rRNA from 1 species
AGAACGAACGCUGGCGGCAGGCCUAAUACAUGCAAGUCGAACGCACUCUUCGGAGUGAGUGGCAGACGGGUGAGUAACGCGUGGGAACCUUCCCAAUGGUACGGAAUAACUCCGGGAAACCGGUGCUAAUACCGCAUAAGCCCCUCGGGGGAAAGAUUUAUCGCCAUUGGAUGGGCCCGCGUCGGAUUAGCUAGUUGGUAAGGUAAUGGCUUACCAAGGCUACGAUCCGUAGCUGGUCUGAGAGGAUGAUCAGCCACACUGGGACUGAGACACGGCCCAGACUCCUACGGGAGGCAGCAGUAGGGAAUCUUGGACAAUGGGCGAAAGCCUGAUCCAGCCAUGCCGCGUGAGUGAAGAGGCCUUAGGGUUGUAAAGCUCUUUUGGCGGGACGAUAAUGACGGUACCCGCAGAAUAAGCCCCGGCUAACUUCGCGCCAGCAGCCGC